CUUGAUAAAGGCAAACCUAUCGCGAGGUGGGGGCGCAAAGCCACGAGUCUUUACGAUUAUUAUAAAGACAGUCGGGCUGCCAAGG
rnacentral:ncRNA from 1 species